CCUAUAACAUUGGCAAGUUCGAGCGAGCAGAACCAGCAGAUUUACUUCGGUAAUGACGCUGGGAAAGCGAGAGAAAAAAGGGGUGAGUAACACGUGGGGAACCUGCCCCAUACCUUUCGUGAUACCACUUGGAAACAGGUGCUAAUACCGGAUAAGAAAGCAGAUCACAUGAUCAGCUUUUAAAAGGCGGCGUAUUCUUGUCAACUAUGGGAUGGCCCCGCGGUGCAUUAGCUAGUUGGUAAGGUAAUGGCUUACCAAGGCAAUGAUGCAUAGCCGAGUUGAGAGACUGAUCGGCCACAUUGGGACUGAGACACGGCCCAAACUCCUACGGGAGGCAGCAGUAGGGAAUCUUCCACAAUGGACGCUAGUCUGAUGGAGCAACGCCGCGUGAGUGAAAAAGGCUUUCGGAUCGAAAGCUCUGUUGUCGGUGAAAAAGGAUUUA
rnacentral:rRNA from 1 species